rnacentral:ncRNA from 2 species
ACCCUAACCUCGGGGUGCCAUAUGGCUGAGACGCGCAAGCGGACCCGUUGAACCUGAACCGGUUAAGACCGGCGGAGGGAAGGUGAAUGGAAUAAUC